rnacentral:lncRNA from 1 species
UGAGGUACGCAGAAGAUGAACAAACCUGAGAACUGAUGAUCCAAAGAAGAGUCGGAGCUCGAGCAUCACAUAGCUGUCAGCUAUGGUGGCUUGUAGGCGGAUGUGUUUCACACCUAAGUUUUUGCCGCUGGACCAUGGUUACGUUCAUCCUAGCUUGGAGGCAACGGUGUGGGUGGGUAUGCAUGUGCAAGGCGAAGAAGUGGACGAAGGCCGAAGAAGCAAUCUCUGCCUCCCUAUCGCUGCGUCCUGCUCCUCAAUAUGUCACCUUAGUCAUGGCCGCCUUAUCCCUCAUGCUGCUGAUUUGAAUCUGCCCUACUCUUCUUCUCCUAGACUGCUCGAGCGCUUCAGCGGGUGCCUUGCGGACGACAGGGAAGGAAGGACCAGAGUAAGUAUAAUAUGGAAGUUCCUGUUCAAAUUAGUAGAAUAUGCUUACCAGGGGUUAGAAUUUAUAGAUAUAUACCACAAUUUUCACUACAGAUUAAAUAUAAUAUGAAAGUUCUUGUCAGUUUUCUUUGUAGUUAGUUUGCGACAAUCAAAACAUGAUCAUUUGAAUAUUUUGUUGUAACAAAUCUAUUAUAGCUAUUGUUGUGAAAGAAAAAUCCUUAAAAAAUCACCCAAUAGCAACCCGAGGAAGUUAAGAGACAUAAAUGAUCCAGAUAUGGUUCCAUUAUGCUCCCUCUGUUCGAUAAUAUAUGACGUUUUCUGGCAGUACACAAUGCCAAAAACGUCUUAUAUUAUGGGACAGAAGCGAGUUUGUGAUUUUUUUGGUUAUUCUUGAUUCCACAUGCUUCAUUUGGGUGAAUAAUCCAUUGGCAUCCAAAUUUGGAGAUUAAUUCACCUAUGUAAUGUGCAUAAUCAAUGACACAUUUUUGCUAUGAUGAAUAUGUAAAUAAAUUUUGUACAAUUCCAUAAAUACACAGUUAAGCAUUUUUGUUGUAAAGAUAAUGUAGAUAAUUUUUUAUAGCUUUGCAAAUAAGAUUAACCUUGGUGUAUAAAUCCGAUCAGAGUAGAGGUAGCUAUGCAAUGGUCUUGCGUCACAUCAUUAGUCUAAAGCUCUAACCACAUUCAUGGAGAAUCUAACAUCCCAACUACGCAUAUCUGUUUGUUCCAGAAGCCACGAAAUUGAGGUACGCAGAAGAUGAACAAACCUGAGAACUGAUGAUCCAAAGAAGAGUCGGAGCUCGAGCAUCACAUAGCUGUCAGCUAUGGUGGCUUGUAGGCGGAUGUGUCUCACACCUAAGUUUUUGCCGCUGGACCGUGGUUACGUUCAUCCUAGCUUGGAGGCAACGGUGUGGGUGGGUAUGCAUGUGCAAGGCGAAGAAGUGGACGACGGCCGAAGAAGCAAUCUCUGCCUCCCUAUCGCUGCGUCCUGCUCCUCAAUAUGUCACCUUAGUCAUGGCCGCCUUAUCCCUCAUGCUGCUGAUUUGAAUCUGCCCUACUCUUCUUCUCCUAGACUGCUCGAGCGCUUCAGCGGGUGCCUUGCCGACGACAGGGAAGGAAGGACCAGAGUAAGUACAAUAUGGAAGUUCCUGUUCAAAUUAGUAGAAUAUGCUUACUAGGUGUUAGAAUUUAUAGAUAUAUACCACAAUUUUCACUACAGAUUAAAUAUAAUAUGAAAGUUCUUGUUAGUUUUCUUUGUAGUUAGUUUGCGACAAUCACAACAUGACCAUUUGAAUAUUUUGUUGUAACAAAUCUAUUAUAGCUAUUGUUGUGAAAGAAAAAUCCUUAAAAAAUCACCCAAUAGCAACCCGAGGAAGUUAAGAGACAUAAAUGAUCCAGAUAUGGUUCCAUUAUGCUCCCUCUGUUCGAUAAUAUAUGACGUUUUCUGGCAGUACACAAUGCCAAAAACGUCUUAUAUUAUGGGACAGAAGCGAGUUUGUGAUUAUUUUCGGUUAUUCUUGAUUCCACAUGCUUCAUUUGGGUGAAUAAUCCAUUGGCAUCCAAAUUUGGAGAUUAAUUCACCUAUGUAAUGUGCAUAAUCAAUGACACAUUUUUGCUAUGAUGAAUAUGUAAAUAAAUUUUGUACAAUUCCAUAAAUACAUAGUUAAGAAUUUUUGUUGUAAAGAUAAUGUAGAUAAUUUUUUAUAGCUUUGCAAAUAAGAUUAACCUUGGUGUAUAAAUCCGAUCAGAGUAGAGGUAGCUAUGCAAUGGUCUUGCGUCACAUCAUUAGUCUAAGGCUCUAACCACAUUCAUGGAGAAUCUAACAUCUCAACUACGCAUAUCUGUUUGUUGCAGAAGCCACGAAAUUGAGGUACGCAGAAGAUGAACAAACCUGAGAACUGAUGAUCCAAAGAAGAGUCGGAGCUCGAGCAUCACAUAGCUGUCAGCUACGGUGGAUUGUAGGCGGAUGUGUCUCAGACCUAUGUUUUUGCCGCUGGACCGUGGUUACGUUCAUCCUAGCUUGGAGGCAACGGUGUGGGUGGGUAUGCAUGUGCAAGGCGAAGAAGUGGACGAAGGCUGAAGAAGCAAUCUCUGCCUCCCUAUCGCUGCGUCCUGCUCCUCAAUAUGUCACCUUAGUCAUGGCCGCCUUAUCCCUCAUGCUGCUGAUUUGAAUCUGCCCUAAUCUUCUUCUCCUAGACUGCUCGAGCGCUUCAGCGGGUGCCUUGCCGACGACAGGGAAGGAAGGACCAGAGUAAGUAUAAUAUGGAAGUUCCUGUUCAAAUUAGUAGAAUAUGCUUACCAGGUGUUAGAAUUUAUAGAUAUAUACCACAAUUUUCACUACAGAUUAAAUAUAAUAUGAAAGUUCUUGUCAGUUUUCUUUGUAGUUAGUUUGCGACAAUCACAACAUGAUCAUUUGAAUAUUUUGUUGUAACAAAUCUAUUAUAGCUAUUGUUGUGAAAGAAAAAUCCUUAAAAAAUCACCCAAUAGCAACCCAAGGAAGUUAAGAGACAUAAAUGAUCAGAAUAUGGUUCCAUUAUGCUCCCUCUGUUCGAUAAUAUAUGACGUUUUCUGGCAGUACACAAUGCCAAAAACGUCUUAUAUUAUGGGACAGAAGCGAGUUUGUGAUUUUUUUGGUUAUUCUUGAUUCCACAUGCUUCAUUUGGGUGAAUAAUCCAUUGGCAUCCAAAUUUGGAGAUUAAUUCACCUAUGUAAUGUGCAUAAUCAAUGACACAUUUUUGCUAUGAUGAAUAUGUAAAUAAAUUUUGUACAAUUCCAUAAAUACACAGUUAAGCAUUUUUGUUGUAAAGAUAAUGUAGAUAAUUUUUUAUAGCUUUGCAAAUAAGAUUAACCUUGGUGUAUAAAUCCGAUCAGAGUAGAGGUAGCUAUGCAAUGGUCUUGCGUCACAUCAUUAGUCCAAGGCUCUAAGCACAUUCAUGGAGAAUCUAACAUCCCAACUACGCAUAUCUGUUUGUUCCAGAAGCCACGAAAUUGAGGUACGCAGAAGAUGAACAAACCUGAGAACUGAUGAUCCAAAGAAGAGUCGGAGCUCGAGCAUCACAUAGCUGUCAGCUAUGGUGGCUUGUAGGCGGAUGUGUCUCACACCUAAGUUUUUGCCGCUGGACCGUGGUUACGUUCAUCCUAGCUUGGAGGCAACGGUGUGGGUGGGUAUGCAUGUGCAAGGCGAAGAAGUGGACGAAGGCCGAAGAAGCAAUCUCUGCCUCCCUAUCGCUGCGUCCUGCUCCUCAAUAUGUCACCUUAGUCAUGGCCGCCUUAUCCCUCAUGCUGCUGAUUUGAAUCUGCCCUACUCUUCUUCUCCUAGACUGCUCGAGCGCUUCAGCGGGUGCCUUGCCGACGACAGGGAAGGAAGGACCAGAGUAAGUAUAAUAUGGAAGUUCCUGUUCAAAUUAGUAGAAUAUGCUUACUAGGUGUUAGAAUUUAUAGAUAUAUACCACAAUUUUCACUACAGAUUAAAUAUAAUAUGAAAGUUCUUGUUAGUUUUCUUUGUAGUUAGUUUGCGACAAUCACAACAUGACCAUUUGAAUAUUUUGUUGUAACAAAUCUAUUAUAGCUAUUGUUGUGAAAGAAAAAUCCUUAAAAAAUCACCCAAUAGCAACCCGAGGAAGUUAAGAGACAUAAAUGAUCCAGAUAUGGUUCCAUUAUGCUCCCUCUGUUCGAUAAUAUAUGACGUUUUCUGGCAGUACACAAUGCCAAAAACGUCUUAUAUUAUGGGACAGAAGCGAGUUUGUGAUUAUUUUCGGUUAUUCUUGAUUCCACAUGCUUCAUUUGGGUGAAUAAUCCAUUGGCAUCCAAAUUUGGAGAUUAAUUCACCUAUGUAAUGUGCAUAAUCAAUGACACAUUUUUGCUAUGAUGAAUAUGUAAAUAAAUUUUGUACAAUUCCAUAAAUACAUAGUUAAGAAUUUUUGUUGUAAAGAUAAUGUAGAUAAUUUUUUAUAGCUUUGCAAAUAAGAUUAACCUUGGUGUAUAAAUCCGAUCAGAGUAGAGGUAGCUAUGCAAUGGUCUUGCGUCACAUCAUUAGUCUAAGGCUCUAACCACAUUCAUGGAGAAUCUAACAUCUCAACUACGCAUAUCUGUUUGUUGCAGAAGCCACGAAAUUGAGGUACGCAGAAGAUGAACAAACCUGAGAACUGAUGAUCCAAAGAAGAGUCGGAGCUCGAGCAUCACAUAGCUGUCAGCUACGGUGGAUUGUAGGCGGAUGUGUCUCAGACCUAUGUUUUUGCCGCUGGACCGUGGUUACGUUCAUCCUAGCUUGGAGGCAACGGUGUGGGUGGGUAUGCAUGUGCAAGGCGAAGAAGUGGACGAAGGCUGAAGAAGCAAUCUCUGCCUCCCUAUCGCUGCGUCCUGCUCCUCAAUAUGUCACCUUAGUCAUGGCCGCCUUAUCCCUCAUGCUGCUGAUUUGAAUCUGCCCUAAUCUUCUUCUCCUAGACUGCUCGAGCGCUUCAGCGGGUGCCUUGCCGACGACAGGGAAGGAAGGACCAGAGUAAGUAUAAUAUGGAAGUUCCUGUUCAAAUUAGUAGAAUAUGCUUACCAGGUGUUAGAAUUUAUAGAUAUAUACCACAAUUUUCACUACAGAUUAAAUAUAAUAUGAAAGUUCUUGUCAGUUUUCUUUGUAGUUAGUUUGCGACAAUCACAACAUGAUCAUUUGAAUAUUUUGUUGUAACAAAUCUAUUAUAGCUAUUGUUGUGAAAGAAAAAUCCUUAAAAAAUCACCCAAUAGCAACCCAAGGAAGUUAAGAGACAUAAAUGAUCAGAAUAUGGUUCCAUUAUGCUCCCUCUGUUCGAUAAUAUAUGACGUUUUCUGGCAGUACACAAUGCCAAAAACGUCUUAUAUUAUGGGACAGAAGCGAGUUUGUGAUUUUUUUGGUUAUUCUUGAUUCCACAUGCUUCAUUUGGGUGAAUAAUCCAUUGGCAUCCAAAUUUGGAGAUUAAUUCACCUAUGUAAUGUGCAUAAUCAAUGACACAUUUUUGCUAUGAUGAAUAUCUAAAUAAAUUUUGUGCAAUUCCAUAAAUACACAGUUAAGCAUUUUUGUUGUAAAGAUAAUGUAGAUAAUUUUUUAUAGCUUUGCAAAUAAGAUUAACCUUGGUGUAUAAAUCCGAUCAGAGUAGAGGUAGCUAUGCAAUGGUCUUGCGUCACAUCAUUAGUCUAAGGCUCUAACCACAUUCAUGCAGAAUCUAACAUCCCAACUACGCAUAUCUGUUUGUUCCAGAAGCCAAGAAAUUGAGGUACGCAGAAGAUGAACAAUCCUGAGAAUUGAUGAUCGAAUGAAGAGUCGGAGCUCGAGCAUCACAUAGCCGUCAGCUAUGGUGGCUUGUGGGCGGAUGUUUCUCAGAACUAAGUUGUUGCCGCUGGACCGUGGUUACAUUCAUCCUAGCUUGGAGGAAAGGUGCGGGAAGAUAUGCAUGUGCAGGGCGAAGAAGUGGACGAAGGCCGAAGUAGCAAUCUCUGCCUCCCUAUCGCUGCGUCCUGCUCCUCAAUAUGUCACCUUAGUCAUGGCCGCCUUAUCCCUCAUGCUGCUGAUUUGAAUCUGCCCUACUCUUCUUCUCCUAGACUGCUCGAGCAGCGGGUGCCUUGCCGACGACAGGGAAGGAAGGACCAGAGUAAGUAUAAUAUGGAAGUUCCUGUUCAAAUUAGUAGAAUAUGCUUACCAGGGGUUAGAAUUUAUAGAUAUAUACCACAAUUUUCACUACAGAUUAAAUAUAAUAUGAAAGUUCUUGUCAGUUUUCUUUGUAGUUAGUUUGCGACAAUCACAACAUGAUCAUUUGAAUAUUUUGUUGUAACAAAUCUAUUAUAGCUAUUGUUGUGAAAGAAAAAUCCUUAAAAAAUCACCCAAUAGCAACCCGAGGAAGUUAAGAGACAUAAAUGAUCCAGAUAUGGUUCCAUUAUGCUCCCUCUGUUUGAUAAUAUAUGACGUUUUCUGGCAGUACACAAUGCCAAAAACGUCUUAUAUUAUGGGACAGAAGCGAGUUUGUGAUUCUUUUGGUUAUUCUUGAUUCCACAUGCUUCAUUUGGGUGAAUAAUCCAUUGGCAUCCAAAUUUGGAGAUUAAUUCACCUAUGUAAUGUGCAUAAUCAAUGACACAUUUUUGCUAUGAUGAAUAUGUAAAUAAAUUUUGUACAAUUCCAUAAAUACACAGUUAAGCAUUUUUGUUGUAAAGAUAAUGUAGAUAAUUUUUUAUAGCUUUGCAAAUAAGAUUAACCUUGGUGUAUAAAUCCGAUCAGAGUAGAGGUAGCUAUGCAAUGGUCUUGCGUCACAUCAUUAGUCUAAGGCUCUAACCACAUUCAUGGAGAAUCUAACAUCCCAACUACGCAUAUCUGUUUGUUCCAGAAGCCACGAAAUUGAGGUACGCAGAAGAUGAACAAACCUGAGAAUUGAUGAUCGAAUGAAGAGUCGGAGCUCGAGCAUCACAUAG